rnacentral:rRNA from 1 species
UGGGGAAUUUUGGACAAUGGGCGAAAGCCUGAUCCAGCAAUGCCGCGUGUGUGAAGAAGGCCUUCGGGUUGUAAAGCACUUUUGUCCGGAAAGAAAUCCUUGGCUCUAAUACAGUCGGGGGAUGACGGUACCGGAAGAAUAAGCACCGGCUAACUACGUGCCAGCAGCCGCGGUAAUACGUAGGGUGCAAGCGUUAAUCGGAAUUACUGGGCGUAAAGCGUGCGCAGGCGGUUUGCUAAGACCGAUGUGAAAUCCCCGGGCUCAACCUGGGAACUGCAUUGGUGACUGGCAGGCUAGAGUAUGGCAGAGGGGGGUAGAAUUCCACGUGUAGCAGUGAAAUGCGUAGAGAUGUGGAGGAAUACCGAUGGCGAAGGCAGCCCCCUGGGCCAAUACUGACGCUCAUGCACGAAAGCGUGGGGAGCAAAACAGGAUUAGAUACCCUGGUAGUCCACGCCCUAAACGAUGUCAACUAGUUGUUGGGGAUUCAUUUCCUUAGUAACGUAGCUAACGCGUGAAGUUGACCGCCUGGGGAGUACGGUCGCAAGAUUAAAACUCAAA